rnacentral:rRNA from 1 species
AAUAGUUUCUUUGGUGGUGACCUACUACAUGGAUAACCGUAGUAAUUCUAGAGCUAAUACAUGCGUAAAUCUCGACUCACGAAGAGACGUAUUUAUUAGAUAAAGACCGACCUCGUUCUGCGGUGAAUCAUAAUAACUUCACGGACCGCAUGGCUUUAUGCCGGCGGUAUUCCAUUCAAAUUUCUGCCCUAUCAACUUUCGACGGUAGGAUAGAGGCCUACCGUGGUGUUCACGGGUGACGGAGAAUUAGGGUUCGAUUCAGGAGAGGGAGCCUGAGAAACGGCUACCACA